UGGCGCUCCGUAAUUUAGUACUCAGUUGUUGUGCCCGUCAAGCGAACGUGUUCGGUUCAUCAUAGCGUGUGCGCUGUACUGUAAUAGAUACACAAGCCGUCGGAAAAUUCUAUGUUUGCUACAACCACCGCCACCACUACCAUCAUCGUUUGCCAACAUCACCACAACCACUAAAUUCAUUAAGCCGAUAUGUGUGCGUUGUGUAUGUGUAAUUGCCUGCCAAUGUAUUUUCAGUAAAGCAAAAUGUAGUGAAGUUUUCAAGUUAAAGGCAACUAAAAUACGGCAGUAUCAGUAGAAAAAGUGGUGAAAAAUUUCGUAUGCUGUGAAAAUUUUCAAAAAAAAAAAACCCCAAAGAAACAUUGUGCAGUUCGGUGGCAGAAAGGUGAAUGCAAUGAAAUAAAUAAGUAAAUCCACAAAGUUUCCGAGUAACUACGACAUCAAUUUAAAUUGACGGCUUAAAGAAAUUCUUGUAAAUAAAUUAAAUACAUGUGACAGUGGAACAUUCAUACAUAAGUAAAAUUGUUGUGCUGCGCGUGUGGUCGCAACAUCAGCAUAUGUAUGUAUGUAUGUACGAACGUAAGUACAUGCAUGUGUACAAGAAACACCUAAGCCAAAAGCAGGUGUAAAACAAAACAACAGAAGUUCAUAAAAAGAACAUAACAAUCAAACACAAAUAAAAUAAAAGCUUCAAUAAACAAGUAAGUAAACAGUAUUUUAAUCACAUGUAAGACGAGAAACUAAAUUGAGAGGAAAAAAAAAAUCAAAAUCAAAAGUGAAGAACAGCUUUAGAAAGAAAAGUGUUUCAAAAAAGCCAGCAUUAGUUGCCAGUCAACGCAUUCAAGCAACAAAAAAAGGGAAAAGUUCUCAACAAGAAGCCCAACAAAAAAGUGAACGGAGCGUUGCUGAGUAUUAAGUGAUUAUCCUGCAAGCGUGUAAUUCAUAAUUUUAAGUACCAGCGCAGUAGUUACAAACAUACAUAUACAUAUAUUACAGAAAAAGUGUAAAUAAAUACAGCUAAGCGCCAGUUUGUUAAAAAAAAAGAAAUACACAGAUUGCGUAUGCAAACGUGUGUAGACGUGUGGAAAAAGUAUUAAAUUUAGAAUUCUUUGAAAAUUUGUUUGAAGAACAAGUGAAACCGAAGAGCGUACAUUUCUUUGUUGAAACUUGCUGA